rnacentral:rRNA from 1 species
CCUACGGGGGGCAGCAGUGAGGAAUAUUGGUCAAUGGGCGCGAGCCUGAACCAGCCAAGUAGCGUGAAGGAUGACUGCCCUACGGGUUGUAAACUUCUUUUAUAAAGGAAUACAGUGAGGCACGUGUGCCUUUUUGUAUGUACUUUAUGAAUAAGGAUCGGCUAACUCCGUGCCAGCAGCCGCGGUAAUACGGAGGAUACGAGCGUUAUCCGGAUUUGUUGGGUUUAAAGGGAGCGUAGAUGGGUUGUUAAGUCAGUUGGGAAAGUUUGCGGCUCAACCGUAAAAUUGCAAUUGAUACUGGCAGCCUUGAGUACAGUUGAGGUAGGCGGAAGGCGUGGUGUAGCGGUGAAAUGCUGAGAUAGCACGAAGAACUCCGAUUGCGAAGGCAGCCUACUAAACUGACACUGACAUUGAUGCUCGAAAGUGUGGGUAUCAAACAGGAUUAGAUACCCCAGUAGUC